rnacentral:rRNA from 1 species
AUGGAGGAAUCGAGGCCGAGGAGGGCGCAGCCGGCGCCGACGAGGAUCCAGACCGUGCCGAUCGCCGUCACGCCGGAGGGCUUCUGGUGCUGCCCCACGCCGACGACGCUGCACAAGAGCCUCAAGAACCCGCAUCACCACCACGGCCAUGGCGGCGGCAACAGCCACAGCCAUAGCCAUAGCCACAGCAAGCAGCAGCGCAAGAUCCCAUCGGUGCCCCCGUCCGUGGCGCCCUCCGUGGCCGAGGGAGCGGAUGAUGGAGGCGGUCUGCAGAUGGCGUGCGAGUCAAGGAGGUCCACCGCAAGCGGCCGAUGA